rnacentral:rRNA from 1 species
AGCAGUCGCCGCGGUAAUACAGAGGGUGCGAGCGUUAAUCGGAUUUACUGGGCGUAAAGCGUGCGUAGGCGGCUUCUUAAGUCGGAUGUGAAAUCCCUGAGCUUAACUUAGGAAUUGCAUUCGAUACUGGGAAGCUAGAGUAUGGGAGAGGAUGGUAGAAUUCCAGGUGUAGCGGUGAAAUGCGUACAGAUCUGGAGGAAUACCGAUGGCGAAGGCAGCCAUCUGGCCUAAUACUGACGCUGAGGUACGAAAGCAUGGGGAGCAAACAGGAUUAGAUACCCGUGUAGUCCCUGUCUCUUAUAA